GUACACAUAUGGCGUGUCUCGUGGAUACCAUACCAUCACAAACACUGGCGACAUCAUGUGGUAUUGAAGUUACCCUCUAUAUGAGAGUAAAGCAGAGGUAACUUCUUACUGUAAAAACAUGUCAAUAGCACUUAUUGGGGAAUGGAAACGAAGAAUGGACACUUCUAAGGUUUUACACAGCCUGUGAGGACCAAAUUUGUCUCACACUUUACUUGCACUAGGGUAAGC